GAUGAACGCUGGCGGCGUGCCUAAUACAUGCAAGUCGAACGCACAGCGAAAGGUGCUUGCACCUUUCAAGUGAGUGGCGAACGGGUGAGUAACACGUGGACAACCUGCCUCAAGGCUGGGGAUAACAUUUGGAAACAGAUGCUAAUACCGAAUAAAACUCAGUGUCGCACGACACAAAGUUAAAAGGCGCUUUGGCGUCACCUAGAGAUGGAUCCGCGGUGCAUUAGUUAGUUGGUGGGGUAAAGGCCUACCAAGACAAUGAUGCAUAGCCGAGUUGAGAGACUGAUCGGCCACAUUGGGACUGAGACACGGCCCAAACUCCUACGGGAGGCUGCAGUAGGGAAUCUUCCACAAUGGUCGAAAGCCUGAUGGAGCAACGCCGCGUGUGUGAUGAAGGCUUUCGGGUCGUAAAGCACUGUUGUAUGGGAAGAACAGCUAGAAUAGGGAAUGAUUUUAGUUUGACGGUACCAUACCAGAAAGGGACGGCUAAAUACGUGCCAGCAGCCGCGGUAA
rnacentral:rRNA from 1 species